UGGGAAAGCAAGGAGAUAUAUGGAAGAUGGAAUGGUUGAUUUAGCUGAUUCAUCUAGGCACCCAAUAGAUAUGCAUAAUGAGCUCCUCUGUGCUCAAGAGACUAUUAGAAUACUUAGAAGGGAGGUUUCUGAGAAGGAAUCAGAGAUUGCUCAGUGCAAUGCACAUAUCUCAGAGCUAAACGUUCAUGUUGAGGCAGUGGCACAAGAAUACAAGCACAAGAUGAAUUCUAAGAAAGAUGAAGAGCUUAGUGCUGCGAAACAACGUAUUGUGGAACUCGAGGGCAUAGCAGCUAGGAGACAAAGGGAGGUGAGGUUAUUCUUAAUUUUUCACUUCUUUUUGCCUACCUUUUUUUUUAUUUUUCCAACUUAUAUUUUUUGUUAUUUUGUUUGAGGAUAUUCAUGUUGAAUGCGAAAUUAGCACCAGUAGAGAGCAUGGCGCCCAUAUGGGGUUCGAGAUAUGCUUGGGGUUAAAAUAAACAUGACAACUUGGACGCUGUAGACUGACCCUAGAGCAUCUAUCAAAGGAACCAGACAGCGAUCAUGAGUUUAGGAGGCAACGGAGGGCAAUAACAAGGACUCAUCUGACACACAAGUUAAACUGAAGUUCCAACAGGUCUUGCAUCUUAUGGCUUCACAUUCGCCAUUUAUGUUUCAUCUAUACAUCAAGGUAUUGUAGUAUAUCAGUGUUGAGUAUAAUUUAAAGACUAUCGGAGUGGCUACUGAUUGCAAAUCAAAUUUUCAGGCACGUUCUGUUCCUAUACUGUCUGCUGUCAAAAAUAGAUAUUAUAAGGUUACUGAUGGGGCUUUGCGGGCGUGCGGAGAGACAACCUCGGUUGUUUUUAGACCAUACAACUCUAUGUGGUCGAUUACAACAUGCUUUGGGAUUGAUUUCAAAAAAAAAAACAAAAAACAAAUGCAUAAAUAUGAGAAAGAAGCUAAAGAAAAGGUCAGUUCAAUUAUUCAGAUUGCUAGCACAUCUCAGCCUGUACUUCUGGCCGUGUCUUCUAAGUCUUGCCAUUGUAAGCAACAAUUGCAUGCAUAUUUUUUUCAGUUGUUUACAUGUAGAUAAUUGCCUCCAAUCAGAAGAGAAUUAAUAUGUUUGAUCAUUGAGUUUUCAUUUGCACCCUAUCA